AGGCUUGGACUUCUGGACUGUCUGCUGACUUCAACUGUCUGGUCUCAGGGUGGUGAACCUGUGUUUGAACGCCUAACCUCUGAGUUGAUGAUGAUGGUACCUGUCCAUUAACUGAACAACUGAGGUUUUGAAUAAUCUGAGGCCAGGAACUGUUUCUGAAACGACCUACAGGGCCCGUACAUGGGAGAAGUCUGGUGAGCACCCGGGGGAUCUAAAUAGCAAGCUCUGAACGGGUUCCAGCUGAAGUUUCUGAGCAGACCAGUCGCUGCAGCUCCCUAGGCUGAGUUUCCAAGCUGCCGGUGCAUGCCAUUGACAAGCUGCAGGAUGGUGCCCGUGGCCAGGCCGCCGCUGCUGCUUAUCGCCUUCUUCUUCUGCGCCUGUG